CCCCUGCUCUUGAAGAGUUAAAAUUGUAUAUGUGCAGGUGUAAAAAGUUAAGCUUAAGCUUACAGGUUUAAACCUUGCUGGUACAGCUGUAAAAAAAUAAGACAGAGUAGCACCUUGGCAGUAGGGACUCCAUUUUGGAGCACUUGAGACUGCAUUCUGGGAAAGCACCCCCCCACUGUGAGACUCUGGUCUGAAACUAUGAUCUCAAAUAGUCGGACAAUAGCAGUGCACUACAUCACCCUUGGCAACGCACAAAAACCCCCUAGCAUGACUGCUCAAGCUUAAAAGUAGAAAGGUUGCACCUGGGUUACCUGGGCUAAUAAUAAAGAUGUGAUUUGUCUGUGUCUUACAUUAAUGUCAAGUCCUAAUUGCUAAUUGUAAUAUUGUAACUGGUAUUGUCAAGAUUAUGAUAAAUAUUAAUUUCAAUUAGGUUUUAGGUUAUGUUGACCCCAGUAACCAUAUACUCUUUUGAUUUUAUGUACUCUCUUUUGAUUUUAGCAACUGUGUAUAGCAACUGUGCAUAGCAACCGUGUAUUCCCCCCUUCCCGGUUUUGUGGUUUUUGCCUUUAUAAACCCUAACCUUUGGUUAUUCGGGGCUGCUCUGUUCAUGUAUGGUCAGACAGCCCCAGCAUGCUGGAUAAUCAAUAAAGCUUCCCCUUGCUGUUUGCAUAAGAGAUGUCUCUUGGUGACGUUUUUCGGGCAGUCGACUCUAACAUUUGGAGGCCCCAGCGAGAUCUGACUGCUGCCUGCGGACGUCUCCAACAGAUAUCUCUCGGGAAGGGAAGUUACUACUGUUCUGCAGGACUCUCCACUGUGACGUACGGUUUGAUCCCCAGACCUUAUUUAAGGGAUGACUGACCUUUUCUGUAAUAAUGCCUGGCCAUAGUAUAGGGCCCCAAACAACAUAAAAAAAAAAAAGGGGGGGGGGUUAAACUACUAGAUCAAUUUUUCAGUGUACGCGUUAAAUGGGCAGAACUCCCCUUUUAAACCAAACUAAAAAAUAGAUAAAAAGUUAAACUGAGGACCUCAAAGUAUGCAAG